UCCUGAAAGGGUAGGGAACACGUUAUUCCCUCUUCAGUCUCUCCGUUCUUUCACGCGACUUCCCUCUUCAACAACGCCACUCCCUUUAUCACGCCGGAGGCACGACGGAGGUGACGACCGGAGGACGGCGCUUCCUACUUCGUUUUCCGGCACGGUCCGAGUUCUCUCUUCACUCUUCAGUCUUCUCUCUCCCUUUUCCGGCACUGUCCGAGGCGGUCUCACUUCUCUCUCCCUUUUCCGACAAGGUCACCAUUGUUUGUGCGUUUUCCGGCGAAGUACUCUCCGUGAUUUUCGCUUUUUGCGCUUGAUUUCUCUGCAUUUUAUCUGUUAUGUAUUUUGAAAUUUGAUUUCUCCCCUAUUUUUGAAAUUUGAUAUAAAAAAAUUGAUGUUGUGUUAUGUUUUUUUAUGUUCUGACUUCUCAGUUCUCAUGUCCUGUUUUCUUUUCUCAUUUCUGAUGUUGUUAUUAUUGUGUGGUUGUGUUGCUUGAAAAAAUGUCUACAACUGUUGGAGGAGAGGGUCAGUUCUAGUGCUACUCGUAGAUUUGCUUCCUUAGAACUGUAGAUGAUCAAUAAAUCUUAAUUGUUGGAUUUUAUGUUUAAAUUACAAUAUUGUGUUUACUUUUUUAGCUAACCAUACAAUUUAUAUAAAUAAGUUUCCUUUUGAUAUUUUACCAAUGCAAAAGAAUAUCUAAUUUGUGCAGGCUGAUAAAAUAUGAGUUUCUACUCAUCAAUAUUGGUCUUACGUCCCUCAUUUUUUGUCAUCCUACUGGCUAUCUGUUGAGAAGCUAGCUUCCACUGUGCUUUGGAAACUCUCCACUCCAUGCAGCUAUACUGAAACGGAAUCCUGAUGGAUCGAAGUUGGAUGAAUGAAAGUCGCAUCAGCCCAGAAUAUGAGGAAGGCGUCGAGCAAUUCUUACAAUUUGCUUCACAAAGAGGUCAACCGGAUGAAGAUGAAAAAUAUUAUUGUCCUUGCAUCAAUUGUUUGAACGGAAGACAACAAAUACUGGAUGACAUACGAGAGCAUCUGUUGUGUGAUGGAAUUAAGAGAAAUUAUACGACGUGGAUAUGGCAUGGUGAAAUGACAGACAUGCAGAGUGGGCAACAAUCCGAACCGUUUGAUGUAGAAA